rnacentral:misc_RNA from 1 species
UAAUAAGUGUUUUAUGGCACUUUUUAAAUCCAUAUCCUCCUUGUGUGCAAUGUCAGUCGAUCUUCUUCAUGGAGAUCGACCAAACAUCAACCUUUAUCUUUUAACUCUUUGUCUGAAAAAUAUUAUGAAUAAACAAUUCAAAUA